rnacentral:rRNA from 1 species
GAGUUUGAUCAUGGCUCAGAACGAACGCUGGCGGCAGGCUUAACACAUGCAAGUCGAACGCCCCGCAAGGGGAGUGGCAGACGGGUGAGUAACACGUGGGAACGUGCCCUAAGGUUUGGAAUAUUCCCGGGAAACUGGGAGCAAUACCAAAUGUGUCCGCAAGGAGAAAGAUUUAUCGCCUUAGGAUCGGCCCGCGUCAGAUUAGGUAGUUGGUGGGGUAAUGGCCUACCAAGCCGACGAUCUGUAGCUGGUCUGAGAGGACGACCAGCCACACUGGGACUGAGACACGGCCCAGACUCCUACGGGAGGCAGCAGUGGGGAAUCUUAGACAAUGGGCGCAAGCCUGAUCCAGCCAUGCCGCGUGGAUGAUGAAGGCCCUAGGGUUGUAAAAUCCUUUCGUUGGGGACGAUAAUGACGGUACCCAAAGAAGAAGCUCCGGCUAACUUCGUGCCAGCAGCCGCAGUAAU